CGAAAUUGUAGUUUAAACAGAACAUUAGCAUUGGAAGUUAAAGGUUAGGUAGCUAGUCCUACAUUUCGA
rnacentral:tRNA from 1 species